rnacentral:rRNA from 1 species
UACAGAGGUCUCAAGCGUUGCUCGGAAUCACUGGGCGUAAAGGGUGCGUAGGCGGUCUCGCAAGUCUGGCGUGAAAGCCCAAGGCUCAGCCUUGGAAGUGCGCUCGAAACUGCAGAGCUUGAGUGCCGGAGAGGGUGGCGGAAUUCCCCAAGUAGAGGUGAAAUUCGUAGAUAUGGGGAGGAACACCGGUGGCGAAGGCGGCCGACCUGGCCGGUAACUGACGCUGAGACGCGAAAGCGUGGGUAGCAAACAGG